rnacentral:rRNA from 1 species
AUGCUGAGGAGACCCGCCUUCGUUCUGUUGGGUUGCUUGCGGUUCCUUCAGUGUUGGCUACCCGAGCUCCUGUGUCGUCUGCUCAUCUCACUGCUCCACCGCUCCUGCCCACUCCUUCAAGGGGGGCUGACUCGCCCUCCUUAUGUUGAGAAGGGUCGGUCGCGCCGUGACACCUUUUGUGACUACUACUCCAGGUCAGGUCACCCAGAGUCUGAUUGUCGCCAAAAGCAGCGAAACCAGAGCCACUCCUCUUCCAUUGGGACUCCUGUGUUGUCAUCGACUCCGUCACUCACUGACCAGGACAUUGUGCGGCUCAAGCGCCUUCUGGCUUCCUCCAGUUCUUCAUCGAUGGAUUCUGCUGCUGCUGUGACUGCCUUCACCUCUUCAUCACCACCGGCAUCUACACCGUCAGGUACAUCUUCGUGGGUUCUGGACUCUGGAGCUUCCUUUCAUAUGUCCUCUGAUAACCCACAAGUAUAG